rnacentral:rRNA from 1 species
CGGGCGGACGGGUGAGUAACGCGUGGGUAACCUGCCUCAUACAGGGGGAUAACAGUUAGAAAUGGCUGCUAAUACCGCAUAAGACCACAGGUACUGCAUGGUACAGUGGUAAAAACUCCGGUGGUAUGAGAUGGACCCGCGUCUGAUUAGGUAGUUGGUGAGGUAACGGCCCACCAAGCCGACGAUCAGUAGCCGACCUGAGAGGGUGACCGGCCACAUUGGGACUGAGACACGGCCCAG